rnacentral:rRNA from 1 species
GAGUUAAUACCUCGGGAGGAUGACGGUACCUGAAGAAUAAGCACCGGCUAACUACGUGCCAGCAGCCGCGGUAAUACGUAGGGUGCAAGCGUUAAUCGGAAUUACUGGGCGUAAAGCGUGCGCAGGCGGUUUUGUAAGACAGAGGUGAAAUCCCCGGGCUCAACCUGGGAACUGCCUUUGUGACUGCAAGGCUUGAGUGCGGCAGAGGGGGAUGGAAUUCCGCGUGUAGCAGUGAAAUGCGUAGAUAUGCGGAGGAACACCGAUGGCGAAGGCAAUCCCCUGGGCCUGCACUGACGCUCAUGCACGAAAGCGUGGGGAGCAAACAGGAUUAGAUACCCUGGUAGUCCACGCCCUAAACGAUGUCAACUGGUUGUUGGGAAGG